UCACCGGAAGUGGUGCACGUGUCUGAGCCAUAGUUGGUAUAGGUGCACCCUCGAGAAAGUACUGAAAAUGAACCAGAACGUAAUACGAGUCAAUACUAUAAAAUGUAUUAAAUGUUGCUAACUGAAAAUUACGCGAGGAGCGUAUACUUUCAUCUGUUUAUGCGUGUUGAGCGUUCGCCAUGAAUGCUUGGGCCCUAACGUGUUACGUGUGUUCCGGAAGUGCGGCUAAUGACGCAUGCGCGUUGAACGUUGGAUUGAAUACAGGGACAAGCUGUGUAUCAUGCAAGAAGACUGAACUUAAUAGUGUGAUCACGAGGGAGUGUUCUUCGUUAAAUGCCCUGGUGGACUACUGCGAGACUAUCAACAGCCGUACAACCUGCUACUGUGACACUGACUACUGCAACACUACUGGUCAUGUGACAGUUUCCUUUGCAACCAUUUUAAUAACGUUACUAGCAUGUUUUAAUUGAAGAUGGUCCAACAGAAAAAGAUAUUUCGCUUGUGUAGAAUAGUCACGCAUACAAACACUUUGAAAAAGUAUUAUAAUUAAACAAAUUAAUUUAAAUGUAAUGUAUGUUGUAGUAUUUAUUUGAAGUACAAGACAUACGUUUUAUUCGAGAUCAAUGAAUAGCUAGAUCGACGAAUAAAUGUCGCCGUAAACUCCUACAGAUGAAGUUGAUUUCCCUACAUUUAAUAUAGAUUUGCAAAAAUUUAAAUGCACACAUUCAAUAUCUAUUGACUUGGUAAAAGCCAAAACUUUGGACGCAUAAUUAAGUGUUGAACCUAGAAAAGCAUCGAAAAAUUCACAAUACGUCUUUGGGCUGAAAGGAUAUUUUUGAAAUUAUAUUAACACAAUAAUUAAAGCGUUUAAAGAUUUACCAAUUUGUGACCUCAUUAUUUUUAGCAAAAUUCCUAGUAUAUGAAAAAACACA